CAACAUCGCCACCAUCUUCGAUCAGAAGCAGAGGAUCGAGCUGGUGAAGAACCGCAUGGCGUACGAGGCGGACCCGGAGGCGUUCGCCGCGUCGUGCAAGGCUGAGACGGACGAGCUCAAGGCUAAGAUUUCCGCGGCGCAGAAGAUCCUCCCCAACGUCACGAUGGACCGGGACCUGGCGCUCAAGAUCUCCGGCGUGUGCGCGCUCGUGGACGUCGACGGACUCCGCGGCGAUAUCGUCGUGACCCGCGCGGCGAAGGCGCUCGUGGCGUACGAGGGACGCGAUGUGGUGACCGAGGACGACAUCAAGCGCGUCAUCGGCCCGUGCCUCAGCCACCGCCUUCGCAAGGAUCCUCUGGACACCAUGGACGGAUCCUUCAAGGUCAUGCUGGGCUUCAACAAGGUGUUCA
rnacentral:lncRNA from 1 species